rnacentral:rRNA from 1 species
UACGUAGGUGGCAAGCGUUGUCCGGAUUCACUGGGCGUAAAGCGCGCGCAGGCGGUCUUCUACGUCUGGGGUGAAAACCCGGGGCUCAACACCGGGACUGCCUUGGAUACGGGAAGACUUGAGGAUCGGAGAGGCAAGGGGAAUUCCACGUGUAGCGGUGAAAUGCGUAGAGAUGUGGAGGAACACCUGUGGCGAAGGCGCCUUGCUGGCCGAUUUCUGACGCUGAGGCGCGAAAGCGUGGGGAGCAAACAGG